AAAGCCUACUGACGCAUGCCUGGUAAAAUACAGCAUCAUUGAGCCCUGGGAGCGAUCCAGGAACAUGCUAGUCUUAAAAUUCCUCCCUGCACACCCCUCAAUCAAAAUGGAAAUUAAAAGCUAAGAGGUUUCAUUUAAUUUUGAGGAAGAAGUCAAGAACAUUAUGAGACUUGCAUCUGACACUGAAUGUUGCCUAAACAAGCAGCACCCUGUUCCUAUCAGCUGAGCUUGCAGCAGACUUGACUCCUGAGUCCCAAAGGUAGCUGUGGUGGACCAGUUCCUUCAGAGAACUACUAGAAAAGCCAAAGAAGACCUUGGGGAGCUGCCAAGGCAACCACGACUUGAAAAGACAAAAUCAUAGAGAAGGGGGAGCCAACCUCCUGCAGCUGCUUUGCCCCUUGGGGCCUAGGUCAAUUCUGGGUGUCAGGAAGAAGCCUGAGGAAGCAGGCACACAGCCUGAGCACAGGAAUGGAGGCACAACAAGGAGCCAGAGAACCCAGGGGACUGUGCGGCAGCCUCUCAGGUCUGGAGAAAGGAAAACAAAGGGCCAGGAUCCUGGGGAAAAGGACUAAUUUUUCCUGAACAUAUACAACAGACUCGCAAAGCUGCACAGGCUGGGAGGGUCAGCAGAAAGCCUCUGAGGAACACAGCAGAGUUUUCCUCUAUCCCUUGUACCAGGGAGACAAAGACUGAAGUUGGGAACAUACUGUGGCAGAAGGGCCCAGGUGACACCUCGCUCCUAGUUGAUAAUCCUUAAGGGCACGGGCAAGUAGGACCAGAAGCAGCCCACCCGAAAUCACAUUCCUGGUGCAGUCAGCUGCUAUGGUAGUCAGCUGUACAUUCCUACAACAAAAUGCCUGAGAUAAUCAACUUAUAAAGUUUAUUUUGGCUCUCAA